rnacentral:rRNA from 1 species
AACAGGAUUAGAUACCCUGGUAGUCCACGCCGUAAACGAUGUCGACUUGGAGGUUGUGCCCUUGAGGCGUGGCUUCCGGAGCUAACGCGUUGAGUCGACCGCCUGGGGAGUACGGCCGCAAGGUUAAAACUCAAAUGAAUUGACGGGGGCCCGCACAAGCGGUGGAGCAUGUGGUUUAAUUCGAUGCAACGCGAAGAACCUUACCUACUCUUGACAUCCAGAGAACUUAGCAGAGAUGCUUUGGUGCCUUCGGGAACUCUGAGACAGGUGCUGCAUGGCUGUCGUCAGCUCGUGUUGUGAAAUGUUGGGUUAAGUCCCGCAACGAGCGCAACCCUUAUCCUUUGUUGCCAGCGGUUCGGCCGGGAACUCAAAGGAGACUGCCAGUGAUAAACUGGAGGAAGGUGGGGAUGACGUCAAGUCAUCAUGGCCCUUACGAGUAGGGCUACACACGUGCUACAAUGGCAUAUACAAAGAGAAGCGACCUCGCGAGAGCAAGCGGACCUCAUAAAGUAUGUCGUAGUCCGGAUUGGCGUCUGCAACUCGACUCCAUGAAGUCGGAAUCGCUAGUAAUCGUGGAUCAGAAUGCCACGGUGAAUACGUUCCCGGGCCUUGUACACACCGCCCGUCACACCAUGGGAGUGGGUUGCAAAAGAAGUAGGUAGCUUAACCUUCGGGAGGGCGCUUACCACUUUGUGAUUCAUGACUGGGGUGAAGUCGUAACAAGGUAACC